rnacentral:rRNA from 1 species
GUGCAGCAGUCGAGAAUCUUCGGCAAUGGGCGAAAGCCUGACCGAGCGGCGCCGCGUGCAGGAAGAAGGCCUUCGGGUUGUAAACUACUUUUAACCGAGAGGAACCUUCGGGUGACAGUAUCGGUUGAAUAAGGGGGUGCUAACUCUGUGCCAGCAGCAGCGGUAAUACAGAGCCCCCAAGCGUUAUCCGGAUUUAUUGGGCGUAAAGGGUCCGUAGACGCCUCGUCAAGUUUCUUAUUAAAUCUUCAGGGCUUAACCUUGAAGCUGUAGGAAAAACUAGCGAGGUAGAGGGCGUUAGAGGCCAGUGGAAUACACGGUGUAGGGGUGAAAUCCGUUGAUAUCGUGUAGAACACCAAAAGCGAAGGCAGCUGGCUGGAGCGACCCUGACGUUGAGGGACGAAAGCGUGGGGAGCGAAGAGGAUUAGAUACCCCCGUAGUCC